UCAUCACAGACUGCUGUUGAGAAAAUACUGGUGUGCAACACCUACUUUGUACAAAGUCUGCUUGAACACGUAAAUGAAAACGAGCUCCAAGUGCGCUUUUUACACUUGAAUCAUGGCUCAUUGAACUCUGUUAAUUUAUGCAGUCGUACAUUAUAAACGGCAUACUUUAACCCUUGCACAAACACUUUUCAUGUUAAGUAAAGACUGUGCUGGUUAUUAUAAACACACUGCGAAAGGAUUAUUUUUUUUAAACUGCAUGUGAAAGGUUGUCAUUGUCAGCGCUGAGCGAUGGCGCCCCCUGGUGGGAUAAUUAAAACAGCUGUCGACUUAACGUCCCACUUGACAACAAUUUAAAUACAUGCAAUGUUUUUGUUCACAUCAAUAAAGUAUAUUUUAUAUUUUAAAGUCUAA